GGAAAAGGGGGGCGGGGUGCGGGGUGAGUACGUAGGGGGGAGGCGUGGACCGGAAUUAUUGGGCGUAAAGCGCGUGCAGGCGGUCCUUUAAGGCUGAUGUGAAAGCCCACGGCUCAACCGUGGAGGGUCAUUGGAAACUGGGGGGCUUGAGGGCAGAAGAGGAAAGCGGAAUUCCACGUGUAGCGGUGAAAUGCGUAGAGAUGUGGAGGAACACCAGUGGCGAAGGCGGCUUUCUGGUCUGUAACUGACGCUGAGGCGCGAAAGCGUGGGGAGCAAACAGGAUUAGAUACCCGUGUAGUC
rnacentral:rRNA from 1 species